UUUGCUGGCCAUUCACCAUGAGGGGACAAGUGUCACCUGCCUCCUGAGUGGCAUGUGCCACCCUGGGCAGUGGCGCUGAGCAUUUAUGAAGCCUGACACUCUACCACUUUGAGCCUGAGGGGAAGCUGUGAGGACUCAGCAUGUCAGAGAGACUGCACGUAUGGGAGAAUGCACGCACGGGAGCCGGAGGGACGCAGAGGAACCAGUGUGAGGCACCAGGGAAGACACACCGCAGGCUUGCCUCCUCAGUGCUCCCAGAGGUUGACCAUGGACUCAUGUCGCUGUUCACUGAAGAUGUGAGGAGUGCGCUGGCCGCAGCAGCCCAGGUGGCCCCUUGCCUGCCUGGCCAAUCAAGGGUGGCAUGUGAAUGCCACCAGCCAACAAGCACAGGGACCACACAGCGACCUGCUCACUAGCUGUAAAUGCCACCAUUAUGAUUGGAAUUGUAUGUCCCCCAACUCACAUGUUGAAGCCCUAGCCUCAGUACCUCAGAAUGGGGCUGUGUUUGGAGGUAGGGCCUUUAGAGAGGUGACUCAGUUACAUCGAGGCCUUCAGGGUGAGCCCUCCAUUCAGUGUGACUGGGGUCCUGAAAAGAAGACAAUGUUUGGGCAUUCAGAAAGACACAGGACCACAGGCUGUGUGUGCACAGAAGAAAGGCCACGAGAAGGUGACCAUCUGCAAGCCACAGAGGGAGACCUCGGGGGAACCGACUCUGCCGGCACCUUCAUUGUGAACCUGCAGCCUCCAGAGCUGUGAGAAAUACAUUUCUGUUGUUUAAGCCUCCCAGUCUGUAGUAUGUUGUUAUGGCAGCUGGAGUGAACUAGCACAGCCACUGGAGUUUGGCCAACAAGCACACUGAAGCCAUGAGAAGUGAACCAUUUGUUUCAGAGAAGUGUAAUCAAGCCAAAAAGAAAACAAUCUCCCUUAGCACUCAGGGUGAACGCCAACCUUGAGCUGACUGUCAUUGUGGAAAACUGGGGCCUUCUUGACUGACCUAACUGGACAGAUGGCGAUGGAGGAGGAGGCUGUGCUGACACAUUCGGCUGAGCUCCUGCCUGUGCUUCCCAGCAGCUGCCCACACCAGCCACAGGGAUCACGCCCAACCUGCCUGGAGCACCGGUGAGACGUACGGAGCCAUAAGGAGAGACUUCUGCAUUCUGGUGACCAACUGACUCCACCUGGACCCGUGAUUCCUGACUCAACAGGUCCUGUGGCCCCCACCCAGAAGUUGACUUAGCACAUGAGGACCAUUUUCCACAUCCCUAUGACUUCAUCCCCAGUCAGCAUCAUCCAUUCCCUAGCCCCCUGCCUGACAAUUUAUCCAUAAAAACUCUAGCCUCUGAAUUCUCAGGGAGGUUGAUUUGAGUAAUAAACUCCAUCUUCCAAUUGGCUAGCCCUGUGUUAAUUAAACUCUUUUUUAAAUUAUUU
rnacentral:lncRNA from 1 species